rnacentral:lncRNA from 1 species
UUAGACAGGCAGUCACAAGCCUGGGGACUGCAGGCACAGUGAGGAAGGUAGGGAAGGGUCUCUCCAAGACAGGCCCACCAGGAGCCCCCACUGGGAAUAAUGCAGCCCCUCUCAGGGGAUGGAGUGUCUGGAAUUCCAUGGCUGAGGUGCAACAGGUGACUGAAGGUUUGAGGAGGCAACGCUGCCACUCACAGUCAGAAGCAGAGGGGAUGAGAUGGCCAGAUGUGAUUGGAAUCAGACACAGUGAGGUUUGAAUCCUCACUCUGUCCUUUUUGUUGUGUGGCCUGUGUGACAGGUCCCACAGCCUCUCCAGCCUCUGUGGGAAGAAGGAUCAUCUGAUGCCUAUGUAAUAGAGUUGCUGAAGGAGUGGAAGCAGCUUUGACAUUAUCAGUGGAACCCACCAGUGCAGACUGCUUCACCAAGGGCACCUGAGGCAGCAGAUCUGAGGAUUAGGGACGUAGGGAGCUGAAGCCUGGCUGGAGAGGUGGUGCGCACAAGAACCCCCACAUUCCCCGACAGGAGCCUGAAAAAGCAAGACGCCAUGUUGGGAGGACACGGAAGCAGUUCUAGGGAGAGGAGCACAUGGCAAGAAGCCAAGGCCUCCUGCCCACAGCCGCCUAGUUUCUUUUGCAGAUACCCUGUGAUUGCCAGCAAGUAAACCAGAUGCAAUUGUGGUUUCCGUGAAGCACAGCUGGAAAACUGCUGCCCCCACGGAGGAAGAGGAAGAUGGGAAGAUGGUGGUUACUGCACACCAGGCACCAGCCUCGGGGCUAUGAGCUGUACAAACAUUACCCAUUUUAUCCUCGUGACCAUGUUCUGAGAAGGCUGUCAAUGAUCUCACUUUAUACAUGGGGAAAUUCAUGCAGACAGAGGCUGACUAAAUUGCCAUGGUCACUCAGCUAGUAGGAACUGGAGCUGUAACUUGAACCCGGGUCUUUUGUUUCUGUGGCUCCUGGUAGCACAUGCCGGGCUUGAAGUGAGAUCCGGAGGAUGUUGGAAACAACGUGUUCCCCAUCAUGAAAGUCCUUAUGAUACCUUAUGAUGCAGAGUUGGCAGCCAGGAGCAGGGGCUUCCAGAAGCAUGGCUGACCCUUGUUGGGAUCUCGCUCCUGUGAGCCUUGGAACGUCUAGGGAGAAAGAGCAGCCAAAUUUAGAGCUGCAGGAGCUUUGAGAUGCAGCUCAGGCAUCAUCUCUGGGAAGUCUUUCCUGGAACCACAGCCUGGGCCCUGUACCUGAUUCCCAGCCCCUGUGGCUCUUUUUGCAUUUGCUGCCUCUUUUCACAAUUCUGUCUCCUUAUGUCUUCCACUCUACACGCAAGCCCCUUGAGGGCAGGACCAUGACUCAGUCAUCCUGUACCCUAGCACCCACCCUGGGUCUGCAUCUGGAAGGAGCUCACUAAGUGAUUAUUGAGCCAAACUGAACUGUAGCAGGAGUGAGCAAAGCUAAUUCAUGGGUGCAGAAUGGGAGCACAGAGCUGCCAGAAUCCAGAGACAACUGUAACUGUCCCGGCACAGGGGGCUUCAGGCCGCGGUGAGAGCCACUGAAAGCAAGAGAGCCAGGUGGUGGCUCAGUUCACACUGAGUCCUGCUGAAGAAAUAGGCACAUCGUGUGUGUUAAAAUCAGCACCCCAUGCACCUGUAGGAAGAGACUGAGGCACCCUGGAGGCCCCUCCCAAUAAUUAAAAGGCCCUCUGGGGCCUGUGGGAGCCCUAGCUGAUGAAAUCACAAAGGCCUCAGCCUCUAAAGUGUUUCCAGUAAAAUGCUACCAGGAUUUUCCUCCCUUAAAUCUGGAUGAAAGGGCUGUCUGUGCUACAAAGUGCACACCUGGCGUUGAUACGCAGUCUCUUGCUGCCUGUUAACUAACCCACCAGCCGACAAGUUCUGCCCACUGGCAGGAGCAAGGACUUAUAAAAAAUAGUGCCUCCCUCCCAAGGGCUUAUGAGCUGGUUAAGUGCAGAGGACAAAUAGAAUGAAAGAAAAGGCAAUCUCGGCAUAGUAUUUAGUUAAUUCUUCUCUCUCUCUUGUUCCCUCUCUCUCCUUUCUCUCUUCCUCCCUCCUUUCUAUGACUUGUCCUCUCCACACAACUCCUUUUCCGUUUUCCCUCCCCUGCCUCCCCACCUUCUUUCUUGACUUCCCAUCUUGCUCCCUUUCUUCCUGCCUGCCCAUCUGCUUUCCUUUCUUAUCUCUGGUGCAAAUUCUGCAUAUAGUCGCUCUCCUCAUUUCAUGACAGGCUGUCUUCAUCAGUUUCUGAGUUCUUUUGUUAUUUUAUAAAAUAUUUUACAUGCUGUCCUCAAAAAAUCCCCUCCCCCAGAAAAGGCCCAUUCAAAAGUACUUACUAUACGUCCUUAGAUAGGCAAUGAUCUCUGAAAUAUAUAUAGGCUUGCUCUAUAUGUGUUUUUGUAAGUGUACUUUUCUUUCAUUAAAUAUGCAGAUCUUAAUUGUACAGUUUGAGGUGUUUUGACAAAGGUAUAUACCAGUAAAACCACCACCCCAACCAAGGUACCGAACACUUUCAUCUCUCUGGAAAGUCCCCUUGUGCCACCUUCCAGUCAACUCUCACCCUCCAGAGGCACCCACUGUUCAGAUUUCUACAUGCAUUUUGCCUGUUGCUGAACUGGAACCUCACAGCCUUUUACGUCUGGCUUCUUUCACUUAACAUAAUGUUUUUAAGUCAUCCAUGUAGUUCAUUCUUUUUUUUGUUGCAGAGCAAUAUUCCAUUGUGUGAAUGGAUGUACUUUAUCCAUCAACAGUUGAUGAAGUUGGGUUGGUGGCACUUUUUGGCUAUCGUGGGUAAUGCUGCUCUGGAUGUUUCUGCACAAGUCUUUAUUGUGGACAUGGGUUUCCAUUUCUUCUGGGCAAAUGCCCAGGAACAGAAUUGCUGAUUCAUUAGGAAGUUAUAUGUUUAACUUCAUAAGAAACUGGAAAACCGCACUCCACAGUGUUCAUGCUAUUGCACAUUGCCCCCAGUGCCAUGUGAAUGUUUCAUUCUUGGGGUCUAGAAUAUCUUACUGCAGUUUUAAUUGGAAGUUCUCUGAUGACUUUUGAUAGAGUAUCUUUUCAUGUGCUUAUUGGUUAUUUAUUUCUUCUUUAAAGAAGAGUCUAGAUCCUUUUCCCAUUUAAAAUUGCAUUGCUUCUAUUUUUACUGUUGAUUCUUAGAAGUUCUUUACAUAUUUUAGAUUUAUAUACAGUAAAUAUUUUCUCCCAGUCCAUGGCUUGCCUUUACCUUUUCUUAAUGGUGUCUUUUGAUUAACCAGACAUUUUAAAUUUUCAUGAAGCCUAUUGUAUCGGGGGUUGUUUUUGUUUGUUCAUUUAUGGUUAGUACUCUUUUUGGUGCUAGCCAGGAAAACUUUGCCUACAUUCUCCUAAGCUCAUGAAUAUAUUUUUCUAUAUUUGUUUCUAGGACAUUUAUAAUUCAAACUUUUAUGUUCUAGCCUAUCACUCAUGUAUAGUUAUGUAUAGUAUAAAUAAGGAUUGAAGUUCAUUUUUCUUUCCAUAUACUUAUCCAGUUAUUCCAGCACCAUUUGUUGAAAACACUUUCUUUCCCUCAUUGAAUUUCCUUGAAGCUUGUGCUCAUAACUUAUAUAACGAGUAUUGCGUUACAAUUUCCAUUAUAUUUCUUAAUUUUUCACUUAACACAAUGUUUAUAUGAUCUAUCCGCAAUGCUGUAUUCAGUCAUUUGAAUUCACUCAUUCAUUUUAUCAUUCAAUAAAUCUGCAGUGGUGAAGAAAACAGAA